CCUUGUACACACCGCCCGUCACACCACGAAAGUCAACUGUACCAGAAGUUGCCGGGCUAACCCACUAACCUGGGAGGCAGGUACCUAAGGUAUGGUCGGCAAUUGGGGUG
rnacentral:rRNA from 1 species